GCCUCGGUGGUGUAGUGGGCAGCAAGAGUCCUUGGUAAGGAUGAAACACGGGUUCGAUUCCCGCCUGAGACC